rnacentral:lncRNA from 1 species
CAGCUUGUAAGAUAUUUAAUUCAUAAUCAACAGACAUAUCUUUAUACAACAACACAAACAGUUAACAAUAUAAGGGUAACAGGUACAAAAUAAAUUGUACUAUAGUAUGUAAGCGAAGAUUCUACAAUUUACAUAAAUGCUAAUAAAACUUAGCUCAAACAAAGCCUUAAACAAUACAAAAUGCAGAAAUUUUUAUUGAAUGUGCUACUGAAAUACUUCGAUCUGACCUGGCAUGACGAGGUAGAUUAUAGGGUGUGUUGUAUAAUGAGGACAGGUAAUAUUAGUAAGAAACAGUGAAAGAUAAUACUUGUAUUUCAAAAAAUUAAUUAUAUUGGUAGCUAUCUAAUUAAAAAAAUAAAAUUUCAGACUAGAAUAUUCAUAAUGUUAGUGUAAAAAGUAAUUUAUAGUAUUGAACUUUAUUUUAUAAACAUUAUUAAGUAAAAAAAAUCUUAUCUCAAGGUACAAGAUAAAACAUAUUCUAGUAUUAAAGAUGAAUAAUUAUAUAAAGUAUAAACAAUAAAUUAAGAAAUAUUAUUUGUAUAUGAUGUUUUAUGUGUAGAUGUUCUAUAUACAGAUAUAUUGAGGUAAUUUUUUUUAUUACAAAUUGAUGUCAUGAUUGUAUUAAAUGGUUACCGUUCUUGUGUUAAUGGAUUUUAUAAAGAAAUUAAGACAAGCCAUGCCAGAUCAGAUAAAAAUAUAAUCAGUGAAUUCACUGCUAUAACUCAUUACAUAUACUUGUUUUGCUAUAACUCAUUAUAAUAUAUUACUUAAAUAUCAGUUUCUUUUUUAUACUUUAUUCAAGACUUAAUUUUUAAAAACUUUUAUAGAGAUAUAAAGUUUUUUUGUGAAAUUCAGAUUGUCAUAUAUGUAUAACAAAAUAUUGUGUUACACUAAAAGAAUUUAUAAAAUGUAAUUUUUAUUUUAGCUAAAAUUGCCUGUUUGGAAGUUUUUACAGUACAAUUGUAUGCUUGGAAUGAUGAACAUUUUAACACUUUUUCCUAGAACUACAAAAGACGAUAUUGCAUCUAUAAUACAGUGGAACACAAAGUAUAAUAGCACUAUAGUA